AACGAACGCUGGCGGCAUGCCUAAUACAUGCAAGUCGAACGAGAUCUUCGGAUCUAGUGGCGCACGGGUGCGUAACGCGUGGGAAUCUGCCCUUGGGUUCGGAAUAACUUCUGGAAACGGAAGCUAAUACCGGAUGAUGACGUAAGUCCAAAGAUUUAUCGCCCAAGGAUGAGCCCGCGUAGGAUUAGCUAGUUGGUGGGGUAAAGGCUCACCAAGGCGACGAUCCUUAGCUGGUCUGAGAGGAUGAUCAGCCACACUGGGACUGAGACACGGCCCAGACUCCUACGGGAGGCAGCAGUAGGGAAUAUUGGACAAUGGGCGAAAGCCUGAUCCAGCAAUGCCGCGUGAGUGAUGAAGGCCUUAGGGUUGUAAAGCUCUUUUACCCGGGAUGAUAAUGACAGUACCGGGAGAAUAAGCUCCGGCUAACUCCGUGCCAGCAGCCGCGGUAAUACGGAGGGAGCUAGCGUUGUUCGGAAUUACUGGGCGUAAAGCGCACGUAGGCGGCUAUUCAAGUCAGAGGUGAAAGCCCGGGGCUCAACCCCGGAACUGCCUUUGAAACUAGAUAGCUUGAAUCCAGGAGAGGUGAGUGGAAUUCCGAGUGUAGAGGUGAAAUUCGUAGAUAUUCGGAAGAACACCAGUGGCGAAGGCGGCUCACUGGACUGGUAUUGACG
rnacentral:rRNA from 1 species